UACGAAGGGUGCAAGCGUUACUCGGAAUUACUGGGCGUAAAGCGUGCGUAGGUGGUUGUAUAAGUCUGUUGUGAAAGCCCUGGGCUCAACCUGGGAAUUGCAGUGGAUACUGGGCGACUAGGGUGUGGUAGAGGGUAGUGGAAUUCCCGGUGUAGCAGUGAAAUGCGUAGAGAUCGGGAGGAACAUCCAUGGCGAAGGCAGCUACCUGGAUCAACACUGACACUGAGGCACGAAAGCGUGGGGAGCAAACAGG
rnacentral:rRNA from 1 species